rnacentral:rRNA from 1 species
AUUGAACGCUGGCGGCAUGCUUUACACAUGCAAGUCGAACGGUAACAGGGUGCUUGCACCGCUGACGAGUGGCGAACGGGUGAGUAAUGCGUCGGAACGUGCCGAGUAGUGGGGGAUAACGCAGCGAAAGUUGUGCUAAUACCGCAUACGUACUGAGGUAGAAAGUGGGGGACCUUCGGGCCUCACGCUAUUCGAGCGGCCGACGUCUGAUUAGCUAGUAGGUGAGGUAAAGGCUCACCUAGGCGACGAUCAGUAGCGGGUCUGAGAGGAUGAUCCGCCACACUGGGACUGAGACACGGCCCCGACUCCUACGGGAGGCAGCAGUGGGGAAUUUUGGACAAUGGGCGAAAGCCUGAUCCAGCCAUGCCGCGUGUCUGAAGAAGGCCUUCGGGUUGUAAAGGACUUUUGUCGGGGAGGAAAUCCCCAGCGUUAAUACCGCUGGGGGAUGACAGUACCUGAAGAAUAAGCACUGGCUAACUACGUGCCAGCCGCCGCAGUAAAAC